UACGGGGGGAGCAAGCGUUGUUCGGAUUUACUGGGCGUAAAGGGCGCGUAGGCGGCCUCCGCAAGUCAAUUGUGAAAUCUCCUGGCUUAACUCGGAAAGGUCAACUGAUACUGCGGGGCUAGAGUGCGGAAGGGGCAACUGGAAUUCUUGGUGUAGCGGUGAAAUGCGUAGAUAUCAAGAGGAACACCUGCGGCGAAGGCGGGUUGCUGGGCCGACACUGACGCUGAGGCGCGAAAGCUAGGGGAGCGAACGGG
rnacentral:rRNA from 1 species